rnacentral:rRNA from 1 species
UACGAAGGGGGGCUAGCGUUGCUCGGAAUCACUGGGCGUAAAGCGCACGUAGGCGGCUUUUUAAGUCAGGGGUGAAAUCCUGGAGCUCAACUCCAGAACUGCCUUUGAUACUGAGAAGCUUGAGUCCGGGAGAGGUGAGUGGAACUGCGAGUGUAGAGGUGAAAUUCGUAGAUAUUCGCAAGAACACCAGUGGCGAAGGCGGCUCACUGGCCCGGUACUGACGCUGAGGUGCGAAAAGCGUGGGGAGCAAACAGG